UAACAUUUAUUUCAUGACUUUCUGUUAAUACGCAAAAUGAUUUGGCCGGUAAUACACUGGGUUAUUUAUUGUGCUGAGGGCAAGUGUGUGAAACUUCUUCUUGACCCAUUAUCAUCAACCCAGAAUAAGUUGACUGUAACUACCAUUCUCGUCUUUUUCCCCUUCUAAAUAUCAGGGAGGCCAUGGGUUGCCAAGUCGUCCAAGGCUCUGCAAUUCUGUGUAGAAUUGCCUCCCUUGGGCACGCCAAACACCUAUUACUGGGUUCGAAUCCUGCUUUGCCCUGAUUGUUUCUAGGUUUGUCAGCACCAUACCCGUGCUCAUGGGUUUCACCAAAGUGGUAAAUGUCUGAGACCUGCAUCACUUCGGGCCUUCCUCCCACAUGAGCUGACACGGUGCGACAUAACUGGAAUACUGUUAAAAGCAGCAUAACUCCACUCACAAAAAGAAGGUCAUCUAUCAAUCUUAACAAUAAGUUACUAUAUUCCUAUAUAUUUUUUCCAAUUUUGGAAUAUAUGCUGUUUCUAUGUCAUAACCAAGCCUAAGAAAAGUAGAUUAUCAGAUGUUGGUUAUAAGUUGUUACUUUAGAACAGCAGCCAUACUUAUUUAAUCACCCACAGAAAACAUUGAGACGUGAUUCCUACUGAGGGAGUAGCAGAGAGCAUCAUUUGCCGUGUUUUUUCAAGGUUGUGAAAUGAUAUGUUGUUUUGAGAAAACACCUCACAGAAUUAUCGUAUUAAUUUUCCCAAUUUGUGUCUUUUUCUCCAAAUUUGAGUGAAGCUUGUGAAAUUGUUCUGGAAGGCAAUGUGGAUUCAGUGCAAGGUUCCGGCGAUCAUAGAGCCAUAACUAUUGUAGUUCCCAUACUUUUAACAUUGGAUUACAACAGUGGAAGUGCUAAGGAUAAGUUUUGAAACUGAGGCCUGAUUGUUAUUUCAACACAGUAGUAGAUACAGGUAACACUAUUGUAUUGACAAGUAGAUAGUAGAUACAGGUAACACGAUUGUAUUGACAAGUAGAUGGUAGAUACAGGUAACAUUGUAUUGAGGUUAAUAUCUUUUUUUUAUGUGAAAAAAAACCCUCUCACAAGAUAGCUUUAACCAGCAAUAGCAGUGAUCUGUUCCAAGUUCCAGUAGAUCGAAUAGCAGUAUUUGACCAAAACAUGUUGUAUAAUCAGCCCACAGCCUUUUGAACCAUACAAGUAUGUGUAGGUACACUGCAGAUGUUGGAUGAGCUAGUGGUUAACAAUGCUGACUUCAUGAAACAUAUGUCAAUGUAUGUGAGGUGUUGUACUUCUCACUCUCUCGGACUGGCUUGAAGCGAAGAUUAGAACAGGAGAAAGUAGAAAUUAUGUUAGAAGUAAUUAGGAAAAAAGAAUUCGAAAUUGAAUUUAAGACACCAGAUAGAAUUGUCACACCUGUGGAGCAGGAUUUGUCUUGUGUUGCAGUUACACCACAAAUUAUUGUGCGAUUGAAUAUCAUUUGACUUGAUAAUUCAGAGUGUAUUGGCUGUUCAUUAAGCAUCCAGGGAGCAAUUCGUCUCACGGAAGCUCAACACAGGUAUUGUCUUAUAUAACUACUGCUAAUGGUGGUCUAUUUGUAUUUACAGUCGGAUGGAAAAUGAGCCCAUCAACCCAUUUUAAAAAAAAAUAUGUAAAUAAAAGUCUAUUUUAUAAACUGUUUUAUAUAUUCAUUCGAACACAGCAGUUUAUCUUAGUACUGACAAUUCUACCUAUCAUUGUACAUAUUUCUUGAACCAUUUCAAAUAAAACACUUUAUCACUA